rnacentral:lncRNA from 10 species
UUUGCAGUAUCCAGAUUCUAAGAUUCUGUUUUCCUGGGAAGGUGUAAACUGCUUUAUCUUCAGGUUAGCUCUUAACUCAUGAGCUGGGACAAUGCUCUUUCCCCUAAGAAAGGCGACUUUCCACCAAGAACACCAUUGUGUAGAGGCACCUACUGUGCCAGGCACUGUUGGAGGCACUGGGGAUGAAUCAGCAAGCAAGACAGAAGGUCCCUGCACUCACAUAACUU